GGCAUGGGGGCUUAGUGGUUAGCACUUUUGCCUUGUGUCUCAAGGAUGGGGGUUCGAUUCCCACCUCUGCCA